rnacentral:rRNA from 1 species
AGCAGUAGCCGCGGUAAUACCGAGGGUGCGAGCGUUAAUCGGAUUUACUGGGCGUAAAGCGUGCGUAGGCGGCUUUUUAAGUCGGAUGUGAAAUCCCUGAGCUUAACUUAGGAAUUGCAUUCGAUACUGGGAAGCUAGAGUAUGGGAGAGGAUGGUAGAAUUCCAGGUGUAGCGGUGAAAUGCGUAGAGAUCUGGAGGAAUACCGAUGGCGAAGGCAGCCAUCUGGCCUAAUACUGACGCUGAGGUACGAAAGCAUGGGGAGCAAACAGGAUUAGAUACCCCCGUAGUCCCUGUCUCUUAUAC